UGAUUCAGAUAAGUACCUGCUAGGUUCCU
rnacentral:sRNA from 1 species